AGGGCCAUACUAUGUUGAAACAUUGGUUCCCAUAUGAUCAUUGAAGUUAAGCAAUGUCGAGUCUGGGCAUUACCUAGAUGGGUGACCACUUUGAAAUACCAGGUGCUGUAAG